rnacentral:rRNA from 1 species
GGUAACGAUCGUACCGGUU